rnacentral:lncRNA from 1 species
AUACCUUCAGAUAUCCUGUUCGCCUGUCGAGGUUGAGAUGAAUGUUUUUAAUUUCCCCAUAUUCUGCGAAUUUGUCGUGUAUGUCUUCUUCGGUGGCUUCCUCAUGGACUCCAGUUACAAAGAGAAUCCAGCCUUCAACAGCUGUUGGGGGACGGGGGGAAGUUGUAUGAGUACAUGAGAGACACUUUAAGCAGGCUCACAGGAAUAGAGUGAGUGCGGACUCAGAUUGUUUAAGCUAUCUCUGAACCCAUUCCUACUGCGUUUAACUAUUUUAUUGGUUUCUAACUACUACCACAGACACGGAUACCUCACAGGUUCCAUUAUUACUCACAGCGUUGUGGUCCGGGUUCAUCGCCAUCCUGCUCCACGCUGUCAUAAUCCUCACGCAUCCGCGCUCGGGACCCCUCUUCUAUAAGGGACAUACACGAGAUCACCGAAAACUCCUCCUUUCUCCCAUUGUUCCUAUGAGGUGGGUGGGGACUCCAAAACCCGUAGCUCCUGCCCUACUAGGCCACUCUACCCCAUUUUCCCCACACUCACCGGAGCCAAAGCCGCGACCCUUCCGUUUCUUCGCUUUUUCUUUCAGUUUGUGAAUGCUCUCUGGAACCCCAGAAGAUAAAAGAAUAAGUAACUAUGACAGUCAUUUGUAACAAUCGUCUCUUUCCCAAUACACUACCAGCAAGCCGACCCACACCGCCUCCAGUCUUAGUGCCUUCCCGGUCACGCCCUCCCUUCUCCUGAAGGGGGCGGAAUCUCUAAUCCACCCAAGACCCGGUUCCUCGAUUCCCAUCCUUACGACCGAGGAAAAAAGAGUAAAUUUUCCUAUUAUAGCCUUCUCUCGCACCUUCCCCGCUUCCCACCAGCCGUCUCCACUGUCCUCACCGUCCCCAUCCUCAUCCAUGGCGAAAUCUUCGCCCCCAGCCUCGUGAAGAUCUAGCACGUCCGCCAUCUCGCCUUCGAUCGAGAUCUCGUCUGUGCCGCUCAGACACUAGGUACCUCGGGAAACUGUCGCAGAGGGGAAAGGUCGCCAGUCAAGCUGACCAAUCAAAGGCUAACUCUAAAUCCCUCCCUCUGCACGGUAAAAACACGCAAAUUGGGGCGGGCCUAGUGCGGAAAGAUACCGGAAGUGUUUCUGUGGCCAUCUUGAACAGAUCGCAAGCUAAAUCAUCCAUCUUAGGAGCUCCUUGCCUGCCAGUCGGGCUUCAUCCAGCUCCCGCUCAGUAGAGGCCAGCUCUCUAGACAGUGCCCCCGGCACACUCUGCUCCCGGCUCACCCAGUCCAAGGCCAUUUGGUGGCGAAUAUCAUCAUCCAGGGCCCGGUGCGAAUAAUGAGCCAACACCUCCUAG